rnacentral:rRNA from 1 species
GAUGAACGCUGGCGGCGUGCCUAAUACAUGCAAGUCGAGCGAACGGACGAGAAGCUUGCUUCUCUGAUGUUAGCGGCGGACGGGUGAGUAACACGUGGAUAACCUACCUAUAAGACUGGGAUAACUUCGGGAAACCGUAGCUAAUACCGGAUAAUAUUUUGAACCGCAUGGUUCAAUAGUGAAAGACGGUCUUGCUGUCACUUCUCGAUGGAUCCGCGCUGCAUUAGCUAGUUGGUAAGGUAACGGCUUACCAAGGCAACGAUGCAUAGCCGACCUGAGAGGGUGAUCGGCCACACUGGAACUGAGACACGGUCCAGACUCCUACGGGAGGCAGCAGUAGGGAAUCUUCCGCAAUGGGCGAAAGCCUGACGGAGCAACGCCGCGUGAGUGAUGAAGGUCUUCGGAUCGUAAAACUCUGUUAUUAGGGAAGAACAUAUGUGUAAGUAACUGUGCACAUCUUGACGGUACCUAAUCAGAAAGCCACGGCUAACUACGUG